GGGAAACUCAGAAUGUCGAUGUCCCUGUCUGCAUCUUUCCAGAAAUAAGUGUACAGAAAGAAGCAAUUUACAUUUUACACAUAAUAAAUGCCUAUUUUUUCAAAAUAUCUGACAAAAAUUAAAUCAUAGCCAUUUCAUGAGCGUUUGUUAAAUACAUAGAAGAAAGCUAGCAGCAUAUCAAGGUUAAUUAAGCAUAAACAUCAUUCCAACAUGUAGCAGCACACACAAUCACAUUAAUGCCGUCUGUUAAUUGCAAAGGCUGAAAUCUUAUGACAUGCAACCAUCUACAACAACAUCCUAUAUGGAUAGAACCAGAAGAUAGGAAAUCUAUAUGAAGAAUGCACGUAACAGCAUGAUACUUAAGCAAAAGAAUUGCAAUCUGCAAAAUAUAAACAUCCGUACUGUUCUAGUUGGGCAGCAAACUGG
rnacentral:misc_RNA from 1 species